rnacentral:ribozyme from 1 species
GCUUGAGCGCAGAGGAUCUCCGCUUGGCAGGGAAUGAGAAAAAAAAAAAAAAAAAAAAAAAAAAAAAC